rnacentral:rRNA from 1 species
GAACGCUAGCGGCAGGCUUAACACAUGCAAGUCGAGGGGUAUAGGAAGCUUGCUUCCUAGAGACCGGCGCACGGGUNCGUAACGCGUAUGCAAUCUACCUUUGCAGAGGGAUAGCCCAGAGAAAUUUGGAUUAAUACCUCAUAGUAUGUGAGAAUGGCAUCAUUUUCACAUUAAAGUCACAACGGCAAAAGAUGAGCAUGCGUCCCAUUAGCUUGUUGGUAAGGUAACGGCUUACCAAGGCAACGAUGGGUAGGGGUCCUGAGAGGGAGAUCCCCCACACUGGUACUGAGACACGGACCAGACUCCUACGGGAGGCAGCAGUGAGGAAUAUUGGACAAUGGGCGCAAGCCUGAUCCAGCCAUGCCGCGUGCAGGAUGACGGUCCUAUGGAUUGUAAACUGCUUUGUACAGGAAGAAACACUCCCUCGUGAGGGAGCUUGACGGUACUGUAAGAAUAAGGAUCGGCUAACUCCGUG